rnacentral:rRNA from 1 species
CACGUAGGAGGCAAACGUUACCCGGAUUUACUGGGCGUAAAGCGCGUGUAGGUGGUUCUGUAAGUAGGGCGUGAAAGCUCCCGGCUCAACUGGGAGAGGCCGUUCUAAACUGCAGAGCUAGAGGAUGGUAGAGGGAGGUGGAAUUCCAGGUGUAGCGGUGGAAUGCGCAGAUAUCUGGAGGAACACCAGUGGCGAAGGCGGCCUCCUGGACCAUUCCUGACACUCAGACGCGAAAGCUAGGGUAGCAAACGGGAUUAGAUACCCCCGUAGUCCCUGA